rnacentral:pre_miRNA from 14 species
UCUUCAGGGUCUGGGACAGUCGCGAAAAUCUGGAUGAGCCCCCAAAUGAAAGAUCCCCAAAGAGAGACCCUUACUCAAGUUUCGGGAAGUCGCAGACCCCGGACACAGAGAGACCA